CACAAUGUUAAGCUUUGUCAGUAGAGGGCGCUACCUGAAAAAUAGGUUCUUAGUUUUCAGAUCAUGAUGGACCCAGACACAAGGUCAAGUCUCCCCAUCUGCAUCUAGGAAACACUAGGGCCGGGGAAGAUGGUAGCAUCUCCUGCAACCUCAGGCUUCGAACUUCCCUCUGUGAAGUACUGGGUUGGCAACACAUGCAAAUCAUUUUUGCCUGGAGAUCUUCUGAGAAGAAAGGGAAGCUCAGAGGCAUUGAUCUUGCCCCGAGUUCCGGGAAGCUGCAUUUUUCUUCGCUGCUGCUUUCAAGUGACCCGGAUCUCUUCACAGUUAUUGAGAUGGGGCAUGAUUCUGAGGAGGCACAUGAGAAGUGGGAACCUGGCUUACUUAUUGCCUUUGAGGGUCGGUGGGAGAGAACUUAUCAGAAGAACCAGAUCUUAUCUCCUCAGGACGGGGCAGGAAAAC
rnacentral:lncRNA from 1 species